AUCCAGCUGACGAGUCCCAAACAAGAGGAAACACGCGUCAUGGAU
rfam:Schistosoma mansoni strain Puerto Rico chromosome 4, complete genome